UCACAAGUGGAGCAGAGGCAGGAGAGAAAGAAAGAGAGAAUCCCAAACAGGCCCAAGCAAGCUUCUUGCCAAGCUGGAUCUCACGAAGUGUCAGAUCAUGACCUGAGCCCAAAUCAGGCAGCCUGGUAAAUUAUCCUUUGGUGAUAACUGUUAUAACAUGAAUGUGGUAUUAUAAGUACCUUAGAGCAAGGAGCCUUAAUGGAGAUCAAGGCUAAAACUUGCACAUACUUCAAGAUCAAGGACUGAUGAAAAAGUACAAGAUAGAAGACAGGAGAAUUGACCAAACUGUAGUUCAGGGUCCAGAGGGCACAGGAAAAGCUCCAUUUUAAUAUGGUAUUAAUUGGGGCAACCUCCAGGUAGACAGAGCACAGUAGACAAGAAUUUAGAUAGAAUUAUCUUUCAGAACACUGGGAAUGGGGACUAGUAAAUGUCUUUUCACAGCAGAAAUCCUGCAGAAAAGGAGGGUCUGUUCAUGUUCUUACUCUGUGAAUGAAACUAAAAGGCCAGCUAGGUCAACUGAUCAGGAUUUCAGAGAGGAAUCCUUGGCAGAAUCUAAGUCCAGAUGACUAGGUCGUAUUACUCUGCAUGAGCUGUCUUUGAUCUGGGAACUACAUAGACACCAAGGUUCCAUCCCAUGCGCAAAUGUGAUAGCAAGACUAUUAAGGUGCUUGUAUGCCACUGUCCUUGUCACUGGGCUACCAAGUCCCAGGUUUACAAAGUGAACCAAUUCUGAGCCCAUUUUAAUGGUUGCACAGAACUGACAUCAAUCCUUGCUCCACAUUUUACUAGCCGAGCAACUUUGGAAAUGCCUCUUAUUAAAUCCCUGAUGGCUUGCUUUCACAAUAUAGCCUGACUUUGAGUCGGCUCCUAAAAUGAGACACAACUGUUAAACUGAACUGACCGAUUUCUCAAGACUGAGACUGCUUCAGUGAGAUAUGGAGCAAUCUGUCAACUUAGCUUCUGGAUUGUGAAACUUCUUAUUUGAAAUUCCAAAGGAGGAACUGAAAGGGAGCAGCUUUUGCCACCUCAAAAUAUGUCUCUUUGGCGUAUUGAUUAUUUUAAACUGGUAAGUUUUUAAGAAAUAGCAGACAUUGGUGAGUAAAAGCUACUCUUUUGAUAAGAUAAAUCUCCAUGUAUAAGAAUGUCUCUAAUACUGUACCCGGAAGAGGGGGAUGACCAAGUAAAUCUCUGGAAACUCUCGUCAACAAAGAAGGCUAGGAAUUAAAUCUGUAUAACAAUAUUAUCCUUAUUUAUUGUGCUUUUCCUGGUAAUCUCCCAUAACUGACUCCCAUCCCCAACGUUAUUUUUUGUCUGUGAUGAAGUAAGGUGAUGGCUUUGGC